rnacentral:ncRNA from 1 species
UAAAAGACGAAGAAGAGAAGAGUAGAUUUAGGAUGUAGUUUCAGCGAGUUGGUGAUAGUGAGAGACCAGCACGAAGCCUAUUUUGAAGAACAUCUCGGAGUUGCUAACCGAAAUCCUGUGAGGAGAGUAGACUUAGACGGAACCAAACCGUUAUACAUUGGUAAGUAUCGAAGUGCAAGUAUGCUUCUGUACGGAUUAAAGUGAGUAUGAUACUAAUUUGGGUGGUACCGCGGAAGUUAAACCUUUCGUCCCUUGC